rnacentral:rRNA from 1 species
AGCGACUAAGCGUACACGGUGGAUGCCCUGGCAGUCAGAGGCGAUGAAGGACGUGCUAAUCUGCGAAAAGCGUCGGUAAGGUGAUAUGAACCGUUAUAACCGGCGAUGUCCGAAUGGGGAAACCCAGUGCAAUUCGUUGCACUAUCGUUAACUGAAUACAUAGGUUAACGAGGCGAACCGGGGGAACUGAAACAUCUAAGUACCCCGAGGAAAAGAAAUCAACCGAGAUUCCCCCAGUAGCGGCGAGCGAACGGGGAGCAGCCCAGAGUCUGAAUCAGCUUGUGUGUUAGUGGAACGGUCUGGAAAGUCCGACGGUACAGGGUGAUAGUCCCGUACACCAAAAUGCACAGGUUGUGAACUCGAAGAGUAGGGCGGGACACGUGGUAUCCUGUCUGAAUAUGGGGGGACCAUCCUCCAAGGCUAAAUACUCCUGACUGACCGAUAGUGAACCAGUACCGUGAGGGAAAGGCGAAAAGAACCCCGGCGAGGGGAGUGAAAAAGAACCUGAAACCGUGUACGUACAAGCAGUGGGAGCACCUUCGGGUGUGACUGCGUACCUUUUGUAUAAUGGGUCAGCGACUUAUAUUCUGUAGCAAGGUUAACCGUAUAGGGGAGCCGCAGGGAAACCGAGUCUUAACUGGGCGUUAAGUUGCAGGGUAUAGACCCGAAACCCGGUGAUCUAGCCAUGGGCAGGUUGAAGGUUGGGUAACACUAACUGGAGGACCGAACCGACUAAUGUUGAAAAAUUAGCGGAUGACUUGUGGCUGGGGGUGAAAGGCCAAUCAAACCGGGAGAUAGCUGGUUCUCCCCGAAAGCUAUUUAGGUAGCGCCUCGUGAAUUCAUCUUCGGGGGUAGAGCACUGUUUCGGCUAGGGGGUCAUCCCGACUUACCAACCCGAUGCAAACUACGAAUACCGAAGAAUGUUAUCACGGGAGACACACGGCGGGUGCUAACGUCCGUCGUGAAGAGGGAAACAACCCAGACCGCCAGCUAAGGUCCCAAAGUCAUGGUUAAGUGGGAAACGAUGUGGGAAGGCACAGACAGCCAGGAUGUUGGCUUAGAAGCAGCCAUCAUUUAAAGAAAGCGUAAUAGCUCACUGGUCGAGUCGGCCUGCGCGGAAGAUGUAACGGGGCUAAACCAUGCACCGAAGCUGCGGCAGCGACACUAUGUGUUGUUGGGUAGGGGAGCGUUCUGUAAGCCUGCGAAGGUGACCUGUGAGGGUUGCUGGAGGUAUCAGAAGUGCGAAUGCUGACAUAAGUAACGAUAAAGCGGGUGAAAAGCCCGCUCGCCGGAAGACCAAGGGUUCCUGUCCAACGUUAAUCGGGGCAGGGUGAGUCGACCCCUAAGGCGAGGCCGAAAGGCGUAGUCGAUGGGAAACAGGUUAAUAUUCCUGUACUUGGUGUUACUGCGAAGGGGGGACGGAGAAGGCUAUGUUAGCCGGGCGACGGUUGUCCCGGUUUAAGCAUGUAGGCUGGUUAUCCAGGCAAAUCCGGAUAAUCAAGGCUGAGGUGUGAUGACGAGGCACUACGGUGCUGAAGUAACAAAUGCCCUGCUUCCAGGAAAAGCCUCUAAGCAUCAGGUAACAUCAAAUCGUACCCCAAACCGACACAGGUGGUCAGGUAGAGAAUACCAAGGCGCUUGAGAGAACUCGGGUGAAGGAACUAGGCAAAAUGGUGCCGUAACUUCGGGAGAAGGCACGCUGGUGUGUAGGUGAAGCCCCUGCGGGUGGAGCUGAGACCAGUCGAAGAUACCAGCUGGCUGCAACUGUUUAUUAAAAACACAGCACUGUGCAAACACGAAAGUGGACGUAUACGGUGUGACGCCUGCCCGGUGCCGGAAGGUUAAUUGAUGGGGUUAUCCGUAAGGAGAAGCUCUUGAUCGAAGCCCCGGUAAACGGCGGCCGUAACUAUAACGGUCCUAAGGUAGCGAAAUUCCUUGUCGGGUAAGUUCCGACCUGCACGAAUGGCGUAAUGAUGGCCAGGCUGUCUCCACCCGAGACUCAGUGAAAUUGAACUCGCUGUGAAGAUGCAGUGUACCCGCGGCAAGACGGAAAGACCCCGUGAACCUUUACUAUAGCUUGACACUGAACAUUGAGCCUUGAUGUGUAGGAUAGGUGGGAGGCUUUGAAGCGUGGACGCCAGUCUGCGUGGAGCCAACCUUGAAAUACCACCCUUUAAUGUUUGAUGUUCUAACGUUGGCCCCUUACCGGGGUUGCGGACAGUGUCUGGUGGGUAGUUUGACUGGGGCGGUCUCCUCCCAAAGCGUAACGGAGGAGCACGAAGGUUAGCUAAUCCUGGUCGGACAUCAGGAGGUUAGUGCAAUGGCAUAAGCUAGCUUGACUGCGAGCGUGACGGCGCGAGCAGGUGCGAAAGCAGGUCAUAGUGAUCCGGUGGUUCUGAAUGGAAGGGCCAUCGCUCAACGGAUAAAAGGUACUCCGGGGAUAACAGGCUGAUACCGCCCAAGAGUUCAUAUCGACGGCGGUGUUUGGCACCUCGAUGUCGGCUCAUCACAUCCUGGGGCUGAAGUAGGUCCCAAGGGUAUGGCUGUUCGCCAUUUAAAGUGGUACGCGAGCUGGGUUUAGAACGUCGUGAGACAGUUCGGUCCCUAUCUGCCGUGGGCGCUGGAGAAUUGAGGGGGGCUGCUCCUAGUACGAGAGGACCGGAGUGGACGCAUCACUGGUGUUCGGGUUGUCAUGCCAAUGGCACUGCCCGGUAGCUAAAUGCGGAAGAGAUAAGUGCUGAAAGCAUCUAAGCACGAAACUUGCCCCGAGAUGAGUUCUCCCUGAGACUUUAAGUCUCCUGAAGGAACGUUGAAGACGACGACGUUGAUAGGCCGGGUGUGUAAGCGCAGCGAUGCGUUGAGCUAACCGGUACUAAUGAACCGUGAGGCUUAACCUUACAACGCCGAAG